AUCCAACUGACAAGUUUCAGAUAGGACGAAACGGACGUUUUGGAU
rfam:Schistosoma mattheei strain Denwood, Zambia genome assembly, scaffold: SMTD_scaffold0003849